GACCGCUUAGCUCAGUUGGUAGAGCAACUGACUUUUAAUCAGUAGGUCCGGGGUUCGAGCCCCCGAGCGGUCACCA
rnacentral:tRNA from 1 species